rnacentral:rRNA from 1 species
GAUGAACGCUGGCGGCGUGCUUAACACAUGCAAGUCGAGCGAGAAGUUUUGAAAAGAUUCUUCGGAUGAAAUUUAAAAUGGAAAGCGGCGGACGGGUGAGCAACGCGUAGGCAACCUGCCCCAUACAAAGGGAUAGCAUUUGGAAACGAAUAUUAAUACCUUAUGAAACUUAACUAGUGCAUGCUAGGUAGGUCAAAGAUUUAUCGGUAUGGGAUGGGCCUGCGUCUGAUUAGCUAGUUGGUGAGGUAACGGCUCACCAAGGCGACGAUCAGUAGCCGACCUGAGAGGGUGAACGGCCACAUUGGAACUGAGACACGGUCCAAACUCCUACGGGAGGCAGCAGUGGGGAAUAUUGCACAAUGGGGGAAACCCUGAUGCAGCAACGCCGCGUGAACGAUGAAGGCCUUUGGGUCGUAAAGUUCUGUUCUAGGUGAUGAAAACUGGCAGUAACCUAGGAGAAAGCCCCGGCUAA